rnacentral:rRNA from 1 species
UUCCGGUUGAUCCCGCCGGACCUGACUGCUAUCGGAUUGAUACUAAGCCAUGCGAGUCAUUGUAGCAAUACAAGGCAUACGGCUCAGUAACGCGUAGUCAACCUACCCUAUGGACGGGAAUAACCUCGGGAAACUGAGUAUAAUGCCCGAUAGAACAUUAUGCCUGGAAGGGUUUAUGUUCCAAAUGAUUUAUCGCCGUAGGAUGGGACUGCGGCCUUCAGUUUGUUGGUGAGGUAAUGGCCCACCAAGACUAUUACAGGUACGGGCUCUGAGAGGAGUGGCCCGGAGAUGGGUACUGAGACACGGACCCAGGCCCUAUGGGGCGCAGCAGGCGAGAAAACUUUGCAAUGUGCGAAAGCACGACAAGGUUAAUCCGAGUGGUUUCUGCUAAAGGAACCUUUUGUUAGUCCUAGAAACACUAACGAAUAAGGGGUGGGCAAGUUCUGGUGUCAGCCGCCGCGGUAAAACCAGCACCCAAGUGGUCAGGAUGAUUAUUGGGCCUAAAGCAUCCGUAGCCUGCUCUGUAAGUUUUCGGUUAAAUCUGUAUGCUCAACAUACAGGCCGCCGGGAAUACUGCAGAGCUAGGGAGUGGGAGAGGUAGACGGUACUCGGGAGGAAGUGGUAAAAUGCUUUGAUCUCUCGAUGACCACCUGUGGCGAAGGCGGUCUACCAGAACACGUCCGACGGUGAGGGAUGAAAGCUGGGGGAGCAAACCGGAUUAGAUACCCGGGUAUCCCAGCCGUAAACUAUGCAAACUCAGUGAUGCAUUGGCUUGUGGCCAAUGCAGUGUUGCAGGGAAGCCGUUAAGUUUGCCGCCUGGGAAGUACGUACGCAAGUAUGAAACUUAAAGGAAUUGGCGGGGGAGCACCACAAGGGGUGAAGCCUGCGGUUCAAUUGGAGUCAACGCCGGG